CUUUUUAUCCAUUUAAUUAUUUCCUUAUUGGGAGGACAGGUCCAGCCUCCUUAGAAAUGACAUUGGUAUAAAAUGCAAAAUAGAAGCUAAACUCUAGGAGUACAACAGUCUUCUGAAAGGAGGAAGGCUAGACAGAAGCGUUCGUAUCUAAUUUUUUUUCAUACUGGAAAGGCGGGGACAGAGAGCUUCAGUCAGGGGACCUUCACUGGUAUGGGGUCACAGCGCCAUCAUGCGGAACAUGUUUCCUACAGUCCUGCACAGGCAUGCACUGGGACUUCCAUCGUUCCUGCUUGUUGCCAUUUUGAAACAGGGAGGGUCUCAAAAUCCCGAAUGGCCAAGCUUGCCUCUUACAUUUUUUCACUCCUUUUGUAGGCAGAUGGGAAACACAGGACAUUACAGAGUAUUAAUGCAGACCCUGUUGACUGAGAGACUUUCACCAAGUACACAGAUGACCCGAGGUCUAGAAACAGGAAGCAGAGGGGCGGGUGCCAGCCUCGGUCAGCUAGCCAUGUUAACCUACCACCUGGUCGCCUAAGGCAGCCAGACACCUCACUUUCUAGGUUCUGAAGAGAAAGCACUACAGUCAGAGUCUCUGUUGGGACCUAAGAAGUCCAGGAAGCGCAAAUAGGCAACCAGAGCUGAUCUUCUGCCUGUAAUCUUCUACCAUCACUAAGAAUCAUGGGGAGGCAGGUCAGUGGUGUUGUCAGUUUUGAAACCGUAACCUCAUGAUGGCAGUAGAGCUCCACACAAGCGCUUGUGAGUGAUUGUCUCCCGCCCUUCCUGUCUAAAAAAACCACCAAGGGUGGCUGUCCUGACUUCUUCAGCUCAACUUUGAGUAAUUUCACCAGUAUUUUAUUUUAUUUUUUGCCUUUUCCUUUUGUUACCUAAGAUAUCUCCUUUUCUUUCUGUAUGACAGCUCGUUUUUUAUCCAUUUCCAAUACUUAAUGGUCUUCUUAAAAUUUUACAAUGAUUGAUUUUUUCAUGGGUUUUACACCAUAGUUAUUGUGGAGAUUUAGAAGCAAAGGACUAAAGCUCUGGUUGUAGUGAACUGACUAUAUGGACCAGGCUCCUGUGAUAAUAUAAUCUAGUAUGAAGACAGUAACAGGCAUAUAUAGUUAUGUCAUGGGAAACAGUAAUAGGCCUCCAAUGUCGGAAGACUCUUGUGCCCUUGCUCCAGUGUGAACUAAAUCAUCCCCUAGAGAGAAUCAGUGACAGAUCCAUUUGGAAACCACUCUGAUUUCAACGCACAUGUUUCUCCAAGUGGGGUUGUGUAAAGCAUUCAGUGUUGACAGGUAUCUGGAUCCUCUAUCCAGGGCCAUUAGAGUCAGCCUGGCACAGGACACACAAGGCCUUUUGUCUAGAGCCCUUGUCUGGAUCACACACAGCGUGGUAUCCAGGGAAGUCUGUGUGAAGUAGGUAAGAACUAGGUCUCCUGAUGGUUUGCUUUUGUUCAGCCCUGAGGUUGCCACAUGUCCUUUUUUCCCUAGAAGUGAUCCCUGAGAUCUCUCUCAAGACCAGGAAUCCAUCAGACUCCAGGGGCAAGCAGGGAGGCAGAAUGCUGCUGGGUGCAGAUGGGGAGCAAUGCAGGAUUUGAGGGUGGACUGCACAGAGUUCCUCCCAAGAGAAGAGGAAUGAGGCAGGCAAGACCUUUCAGAAUAUGCAGACACUUUUGACUGAGGGACUUGGACCAGGUACAGAGCUGAGCGGAGGCCAGCUAGGCCUCUCACUGUCCAGGUGCUGAUGAGAAAGCAGUACUGAAACUACAGAGUCUCUGUUGAGGCCUCAGGAGAAGUCCAGGAAGCCCAAAUCGGCACCCAGAGCUGAUCU
ensembl:lncRNA